rnacentral:misc_RNA from 1 species
AAAGUCGUAACAAGGUUUCCGUAGGUGAACCUGCGGAAGGAUCAUUACUGAACCAACACCGUCCACCUUCUUGUAGUGGACCAUUCAACGGCCUGUCAUCGGAAUUUGAUGAUGAUCAACUCGGCUCGUUGGCCAACAUUGGGCGAUGGGUGCUUCUUGAUUUUGAUGCUCAUUUACCAGGUUGGAUUGAGACGCUCAUCACUUAGUGCCUACAUGUGGCAGACCUGUGUGGGAUGGGUGCCUUUUUCAAGAGGUUGAAGUUGGUCAGAUGUCGUGGUGGCAGGCCUUUGGUCUCCUAUGAAUUUCUUUUUCACCACACAGAACUGUCGUGUUGCCCCUAGACAUAUAAUAUAACUUUCAACAACGGAUCUCUUGGCUCUC